ACCAGACUCCUACGGGAGGCAGCAGUGGGGAAUAUUGCACAAUGGGGGAAACCCUGAUGCAGCGACGCCGCGUGAGUGAAGAAGUAUUUCGGUAUGUAAAGCUCUAUCAGCAGGGAAGAAAUAGCGACCUUUGGGUCGCCAGACGGUACCUGAUUAAGAAGCCCCGGCUAACUACGUGCCAGCAGCCGCGGUAAUACGUAGGGGGCAAGCGUUAUCCGGAUUUACUGGGUGUAAAGGGAGCGUAGACGGCGAUACAAGUGUGAAGUGAAAGCCCGGGGCUCAACCCCGGGACUGCUUUGGAAACUGUGUUGCUGGAGUGCUGGAGAGGCAAGCGGAAUUCCUGGUGUAGCGGUGAAAUGCGUAGAUAUCAGGAGGAACACCGGUGGCGAAGGCGGCCUGCUGGACGGCGACUGACGUUGAGGCUCGAAAGCGUGGGGAGCGAACAGGAUUAGAUACCCGUGUAGCC
rnacentral:rRNA from 1 species